GUGAGGCGAAGCCGGAAUCUGGCUCUGUCACGGGGGCUGGUGCCUCACGGGUUUGUGUACUAGACAGGCGAGUGGAGCCAAGUGGGCGAGAGACAUUUUAAUCUGGAAGAGUCUUGUGAUUUGGGAGAUAGGUAUUGGUUUGCCUUGAAAAGGGGUUACCAUGCAGCUUUUAAAUAUGACAGCAAUACUAGUAACUUCAUGGAAGAACAAAUUGAUCUACAUAAAGAAGUUAUAGAUAGAGUGACUGAUUUGAGCAUGCUCAGACUAUUUGAGACCUACCUGGAAGGCUGCCCACAGCUUAUUCUUCAACUCUACAUUCUUCUGGAGCAUGGACAAGCGAAUUUCAGUCAGUGAAGCUUUGAAAAAUUCAAAAGAAAAUAUGCAAGGCUGGAUUCAACUUCAUCUACAAAGAGAACUUUGAUAACUGCACAAUCAUCAAUCAUUCUCAGAGAACAGAAAGCUGCAGUUCAAGCCUAUUAUCUACUAAAGGACACACCUUAGCCCUGUGAUUAAAAAGAAUUGAUUACUUUGGCUGUUUCUUAUGCAAGAUCUUUACUUUCAUCUAAAAUGGUGCUCUUAUAUUUCACACUGAGUUUCAAAAUUCCAAAGAGGACACCUGUACACUACUGUGAUUUGAUGUGAUAGAAUGCCAAAGUGGGGGAACAAGUUGAAAGUAGGUCCAAAACUUCACUAAUUUAUAUGAAAGUGUGCCUUUAAAAGUAUUGAAUAUAUAAAAGUAUUAGAAGUUAGUUUCUUUUUCAUAUU
rnacentral:sRNA from 1 species